rnacentral:lncRNA from 1 species
UAAGUCCACAAGGAGGAUAGCCUAGCUUCUCCCAAUUGAAAAAUUCCAUGAAUUCUUUAUAUGGGAACAAAAUCUGAAAAUCAAGGACAACCCAAUGUCAAAAUAUAACUCAUAAUUUCUUAAUAUUUUGAUAAAAAUAACACAUAAGUGUGAUGCGAGGAUAUCACCUUUCUAGUGAAAGUUAUAUUUGAUGAUAAAUUUAAUACAAUAUGUAAAGGUUAUGUACAAAGUUGUUAUUAAAUCAUGAUGAUUUUAUAAACCAAAUAUGGAAAUAAACUAAAAUUAACCCAACAUUUAUAUAACAUGAAUUGCAGAUAACUUAUCACAUCAGCUAGCCAUCGGUACACCCUGCAAUGGAAGAGAAUGGUCAGCAGCUAAUGGGCAUUCUAGAUCAGCAAGCAAUUCUGGAGUACUUCCAGAACUUCUGAUUCGUCAAAUCCAUUCUUUCAUUCAGUAAAAAGGUGGGAGCUCAACUUCAGCCAGCAUAGUGGAUCACUUCAAAGACAGGACAUCUUCAAAAGAUUUGCCUUUGUUCAAGAAUCUUCUCAAGGAGAGAGCUUUAUUGGAGAAAAACCCCACUGGAUCAUAUUGGGUUAUGAAGCCAGAAUAUCAUGAUCAAUAAUAUCUUGUGGAGAAAAACCCCACAAGAAUUUUACACUACACUGGAUCGAAUAGUUGGUAUGCAUUGGUAUAUUUGAAUAAAAAAUUAAAACACAGUAAAACUUCUGUCACCGAAAAUCUCACGCAAUAAAAUACAAUCAACAAUUCAGCAACACAACCAACGAUUCAGCAAGAAUAGAUUCUACCACACGUUUAGUUCAAUGUUAUUUCAUCAAAAAAUUAUCAGGUAAUAAAUGGAAUGUGUAUAUCAUAAAGAACAUACCUCAAAAAUUGAAUAUUGAUAAACCCGAAGAUGACGGUGAAGGAGAAUCGAACGUUGAGACAACGAUGAAAUCCGAAACCUCAAAGUGGGUGGUUGACGAAUGUAUGGCGAUUGCGUCGCGUUCGAUUGAUUCGUAUAUGAUUCAAAGAGAAAUUAAACAUAUGUUUAGAAGAGCAAUUAAUGGGCGGCAAUUGAUGGGUGGGAAAGAGUGAAGAAAAUUCUGAAAUCAAGGCAUAUUUUGGAAGAGCAAUUAACGGGGGCAAUUGAUUGAUGGAAAAGAGAGAAGAAAAUGUAAGGAAUUAUGUGAUGCUGUGGCAAGAGAGAAGAUAACUGCUGAAUCUAAAGGCAUACAAUGUAGAAUUCAAAGAGAAGAAAAUACAGGAUUGUGGGAGUGCCAUGUAGGAGAGAGAAUCACUAUGGAGGUUGCAAUAUGUAUUGCUUUAUAGAAUUGAUAGAU